rnacentral:ncRNA from 1 species
UUAGCUAUUUUAGAUAAGUUUGUGUUCAUAACAUUAUGGAUGCAGACCUAAACGUUUGUAUCUAUGAUGGCUAGGGGAUUUUGGGACGACUUACAGCCGCGUAGAUGAAAAAUCUAUAGUGGCUUUUAUUUUACACAUUUUUUCUAGGUGUUCACUGUAGAUUUUUUGAAAAUUUAC